ensembl:lncRNA
UGAGGAAAAUAAUGAAUUUAAUCGAUUUUGGAAUAAGGCUGUAACAUAACAACAUGUGGAAAAAGUGAAGCGCUGUGAAUACUUUCCAGAUGCACUGUAAAUAAAUCCCAGUAGCAUCUCUAUAUUAUGAGAAGAGCAUCCAUAUCAUCUCGUUCUCGUUACACCAAGAUGUUUUCUGGUUACAAUGAGAUGCUGAUGGGGAUUUUCUUUCUCGCUGGCAACACUGCACUGUACUGUAGAGAUACAGACAUGAGCAUUUUUGAUUAUUAUUAUUAUUAUUAUUAUUAUGUUUUAUUGAACAGAUCCAACCAUUAGAACAAACCUAUACAGUAAUACAUGUGUGUGUGUGUGUGAUUUCAGCCACACAGGUUAAGUGCAGUUUGACUUCUGCAUUUCAGGUCAUUUACACACAAACAAAUAAACAAAAGCAUAUUAAAGAAAAUCCAGGAUUGCUAAAACUGUGCAGUCAGGUUUCAAAAUGUAACUCUUGUGUGGCUCUGGAACUUUCCGGAAGUUUUAAAAAACCCAGUCUUCCUUCCCCUUUAAGGAUGAAAACACUGAUGAAAAACCGCCGAUUUUAUCAAAGCCUCUCCUCCACCGAGAUCCAGUCAGAGUCAUCCCUUAUUCCGUUUACGUCCCACUAUAAAAGUGUGAGGAAAAUAAACGCUACAUGACUACCUACUUAUCUAUAAACUACUUUUAAGCCAAAUAUGUGCAUAUAGAGGUACAAAAACAUUCUUCCCUCAAAAAUAUUUCAAAAUUCUCCUUUCCUAGUAUCACAUCAGGGCCAAAAUUAAAACAAAGACCGGAUAAAUUCAAGGUUAGACUUUUAGGAGGAAAGCAAUCUAAGCAAUUCAGAACGACAGUCUGGUGAAGGAAAGGCAGACCCAGUUCUCAUUUUUAUUCAAAUGGAGUUGUUCUGAACUUUAGGGAAACCCAGGAGGAAAAAAACAAACAAACAAAACAUUUAGUGCAAGUCAAGUUACAAGCACUUACACAAAGACACACCUUUAAGUUCAUCAAAUCUAUUUGCAUAAAUUCCCCCAAAAGAAACGCCAUCGACGGAUAUUGUUGAACAAAUGAAUAAAAUAAUAGGACAUCACAUACGUAGUGGAACGAUGCGGCGUUUCACACAAAGCUCCGUUUACUGUGCGAACGUUUUGGAUGUAUUGAGAUGAAGAGGAACAUGAUCUAGAUUAGACAAGAGACAAAGAUGAGCAACGAGCAAUGAUUUUGAGAAUUCAAACUGUGUUAGCCCUAGGGAACGUCACAAAGCUCUUCCCCUCCCCAGUGAACGAAGGCGCUCAGGAAACUGUGCAUGUUUUGGUCUUUAGUGCGAAAUCUGUAGUCGUGAAAGGGACUAUGUACAACUGAACGUUUUCUGUACACACACACCUAUAUACACGAGCCAAAUGAAAGGGGAACUCUCGAUACAUUUAGCCUAAUAUAGGCUUUGCACGUACAAAAGCACACCUGCAAAACUCUAAGUGCUAAAUCACCUAAUAAAUAACGGACCGCGCCGUGGAUCGUAACAUUGGUAAGGUUUAGUUUGGAUAACGCAUUGCUUCUGUCUUAUUUCACCUCACUUCUCAUCAUUCAAUUUUUCCUAGCACAUGUACCUACAAUAAUAUGAGUAAAAUUAUUUUAAAUGAAAAAAAAUUAUAUAU